UAAGGAAUAUUGGUCAAUGGACGCAAGUCUGAACCAGCCAUGCCGCGUGAAGGAUGAAGGUCCUCUGGAUUGUAAACUUCUUUUAUCUGGGACGAAAACGGGAUUUUUAUCUCAAUUGACGGUACCAGAGGAAUAAGCACCGGCUAACUCCGUGCCAGCAGCCGCGGUAAUACGGAGGGUGCGAGCGUUAUCCGGAUUCACUGGGUUUAAAGGGUGCGUAGGUGGGCAGAUAAGUCAGUGGUGAAAUCUUCCGGCUUAACCGGGAAACUGCCGUUGAUACUAUUUGUCUUGAAUAUUGCGGAGGUAAGCGGAAUAUGUCAUGUAGCGGUGAAAUGCUUAGAUAUGACAUAGAACACCAAUUGCGAAGGCAGCGUACUACACAAUCAUUGACACUGAGGCACGAAAGCGUGGGUAGCGAACA
rnacentral:rRNA from 1 species